UACGUAGGGUGCAAGCGUUGUCCGGAAUUAUUGGGCGUAAAGAGCUCGUAGGCGGUCUGUCGCGUCGGCUGUGAAAACCCGGAGCUCAACUCCGGGCCUGCAGUCGAUACGGGCAAACUGGAGUGUUGCAGGGGAGACUGGAAUUCCUGGUGUAGCGGUGAAAUGCGCAGAUAUCAGGAGGAACACCAAUAGCGAAGGCAGCUCGCUGGGACGGUACUGACGCUAAGGCGCGAAAGCGUGGGGAGCGAACAGG
rnacentral:rRNA from 1 species